rnacentral:rRNA from 1 species
UAUUUGGUGUCCUAGGCGUAGAGGAAGCACACCAAUCCAUACCGAAUUUGGUGGUUAAACUCUACUGCGGUAACGAUACGGAAGUCCUGCGGAAAAAUAGCUCAACGCCAGGAU